GCGAACGCUGGCGGCAGGCCUAACACAUGCAAGUCGAACGAACCCUUCGGGGUGAGUGGCGGACGGGUGAGUAACACGUGGGAACGUACCCUUUGGUUCGGAACAACACAGGGAAACUUGUGCUAAUACCGGAUGUGCCCUUCGGGGGAAAGAUUUAUCGCCAUUGGAGCGGCCCGCGUUGGAUUAGCUAGUUGGUGGGGUAAAGGCCCACCAAGGCUCCGAUCCAUAGCUGGUCUGAGAGGAUGAUCAGCCACACUGGGACUGAGACACGGCCCAGACUCCUACGGGAGGCAGCAGUGGGGAAUCUUGCGCAAUGGGCGAAAGCCUGACGCAGCCAUGCCGCGUGAAUGAUGAAGGUCUUAGGAUUGUAAAAUUCUUUCAGCAGGGACGAUAAUGACGGUACCUGCAGAAGAAGCCCCGGCUAACUUCGU
rnacentral:rRNA from 1 species